rnacentral:tRNA from 1 species
UGGCUCAAUCAGUAGAGCAUGUGACUCUUGAUCUCAGGGUGUGGGUUCAAGUCACAU